CCUGUCAUCUGGCAUCAGUAAAACAACUGGCAGCAAACGAAUUGUGUUAUUUUACUACCAUGAAGCUUAAAUUGUCUCUGUUUUUGGCUGUGGCCGUUCUGGUUGCUUCUGCCUUUGCUGGUGGUGCCAAACUCAAAUCUAUGAUAAAAUAAAAUCUAUCUAUGGGCUGGACAACGAAUGCUGUUAUGGGAUCGAGACCAAAACCUGUACAUCGUUUAAAAAUAAAUUGGCAAAAUAAAACUUUAAAUAAAAAUAAGCAUGAAAUAUGAAAGUCUCAAAAAUCGAUUAAGAUUUAAC